rnacentral:rRNA from 1 species
GUGAGGAAUAUUGGUCAAUGGGCGCAAGCCUGAACCAGCCAUGCCGCGUGCGGGAAGAAGGCGCUACGCGUCGUAAACCGCUUUUGUCCGGGGGUAACCGCAGGGACGUGUCCCUGCCUGCAAGUACCGGACGAAUAAGGGUCGGCUAACUCCGUGCCAGCAGCCGCGGUAAUACGGAGGACCCGAGCGUUAUCCGGAUUCAUUGGGUUUAAAGGGUGCGUAGGCGGCCCGGUAAGUCAGCGGUGAAAGGCUCCUGCUCCACAGGAGAGCUGCCGUUGAUACUGCUGGGCUAGAAUCUUAGCGAGGCGGGCGGAAUGCGCGGUGUAGCGGUGAAAUGCAUAGAUAUCGCGCAGAACGCCGAUUGGGGAGCCAGCUCGCCAGCUGAGUAUUGACGCUGAGGCACGAAAGCGUGGGGAUCGAACAGGAUUAGAAACCCCUGUAGUCC